rnacentral:tRNA from 1 species
UAUCUUUUCGGUGUACGGCACGAGAGAAUUUGAGUCUCUAAGAGGAUCCUUCCAAAAGAUG